rnacentral:rRNA from 1 species
GAACCUGCGGAAGGAUCAUUAUCGAGUUUUGAAAGGAGUUGUAGCUGGCCUUCCGGGGCAUGUGCACGCUCCGCUCAUCCACUCUCACACCUGUGCACCUUUUGUGGGCUUGCGGAGGGCAACCUCCUUGGCCUGCGUCUCACACACACGCUUAAAGUAUCAGAAUGUAUAACCACAUCGCAUGAUGUAUUAUUAUAAUAUAACUUUCAACAACGGAUCUCUUGGCUCUCGCAUCGAUGAAGAACGCAGCGAAAUGCGAUAAGUAAUGUGAAUUGCAGAAUUCAGUGAAUCAUCGAAUCUUUGAACGCACCUUGCGCUCCUUGGUAUUCCGAGGAGCAUGCCUGUUUGAGUGUCAUGAAGUUCUCAACUCCGAGAGCAUUUGUUUGCUCUCUGGGAUUGGAAUUGGAGGCUUGCUGGCGAUGGUCAGCUCCUCUCAAAUGAAUUAGCUGGGCUGUGCUCGAGAGAAAACAGUCGGUGUGAUAAUUAUCUGCGCCGUCGCUGAAGUAUCUCGGAUCCCGCUUCUAACCGUCCUCUGGACAAUACACCUUGACAUCUGACCUCAAAUCAGGUAGGAUUACCCGCUGAACUUAAGCAUAUCAA